GAUCUCAAAUCAGGUAGGACUACCCGCUGAACUUAAGCAUAUCAAUAAGCCGGAGGAA
rnacentral:rRNA from 1 species